rnacentral:rRNA from 1 species
AUGAAGUCCUUCCUACAAGGUCAGGAUUCAUGGGAGGUCAUUGCAAGCACUGAUACAACUCUUUCAGGGAGUGUAGAAACAUUAUGGAAGUGGCACAUCAAGGCGGGCAAGACUCUGCAUGCCUGCAUCCUGAAGAGAAGGUCGGUGGAGGAUGAGAAGGAUCAUAAACCAUGGCCGUGGUGGGAGGAUAGCCGUCACAACCAUCCUUAG